rnacentral:lncRNA from 1 species
AACAUGAACCCUAGCAAACCACCAUGUGAGCACUUGAGCAAAACAUGGAUUUCCACAUGUUCUAUAGUCUCUACUAGGUUUCUAACAAUGUGAGAGGAUCAAAUCUCUGAGAUUUAGGGUGCAAGAUCAAACCCUAGCAUCAUCCUUUCAUAAGAACUCACCUUAGCCCAUUAGCUCUCCAAUAUCAACCUUGUAGGAGAGACCAACACCUUCAAAAGCUCCAAAUCUCCUCCCAAUCCUCCUUUAAUCCACCUUGUAGAGAGCUUUUAGAGAGAGAGAGGGAGAGAAAAUGAGAGAGGAGUGUAAUCUCAGCUUGCUGUGAAGAGAAGAGAAGGUUUGGGUCUUAUUUGGGCUGCUAUAAUUGCUGUUAGGCCCUCCGACUCUCCAAUUCUGCAGCAGGCUGUGCCUGCGGUCCACCGUGCACUGUACCGGUAUACGAAAUCCUGUCACCGGUACAACAGCCUUUUUCUGUGGUCCACACUGCACUGUACCGGUACACAAAAUUCUGUCACCGGUUCACAGCCUUUUUCUAUUCAACCCGAGAGCUAUUUCUCUCGAUUUUACACUAUGUACCGGUACACUUUUGAUGUUAAACCGGUAACACAACUCCAGAUUUCAGAUUUUCGCAUCUUUUCGAUUCUAUUUCACUCCGAUAAAUGCUAAAACCUUUCUAACUCUUUUAAACUCAUUUUAAACUCUUCCAACCUUGUUGGAAU